CCUCCUUAUACGAUUUAGAACUUAUUUGUUCGUAGUGUCCACACAGAUGAUUGUUAGUUAGUUUCAUCUUUGGGUUUAACUGAUUAAUAUGCUCUUUAAAAAUUUGGAGAAGCUGAUAAUAAAAUUCGUAUGAAUACAGUGUAUUUGUACAGAGUUUUCAAAAGUAAAAAAGAAUGAUAGCAGUAUCAUUCAGUGCCAUUUAAUAAACGUUUCGUUUGUUGAUUGGUAUCUACUUUAGUAUUCAAUAUUAACUUCUGGCGAAGUUAAACUGUCACAAAACAAAGACCCGUUUGGGUUGUAUGGUUAAGUGACUAAGCGUACACGGUGGAUGC
rnacentral:misc_RNA from 1 species